rnacentral:rRNA from 1 species
UACCAGCACCUCGAGUGGUCAGGACGUUUAUUGGGCCUAAAGCAUCCGUAGCCGGCUCUGCAAGUCUUCGGUUAAAUCCACCUGCUCAACAGAUGGGCUGCUGGAGAUACUACAGAGCUAGGGAGUGGGAGAGGCAGACGGUAUUCAGUGGGUAGGGGUAAAAUCCUCUGAUCCAUUGAGGACCACCAGUGGCGAAGGCGGUCUGCCAGAACACGUUCGACGGUGAGGGAUGAAAGCUGGGGGAGCAAAC